AUCAUCUCUUUCUUCUUCAACCCCACACACCUUUAUUCCCAUGUCCCAAUGCUUCCUUUUAGCUUAAUCUCUCAAUUAACUCAUCCAAAUUUGUACUAAAUCAACCUCAAAAAUCUCCAUUUUUAAGCUAAUGGAGGUACUAAUCAAACUUAAUCAACCCCCUUAAUGAUAAUUAUCCAAAACCCUAGAUCUGUCCCCUUAUUAGGUAACUCCAACAACUUUUGCUCUCUAUAUCUCAUACACUGAAAGUCUGAAACACCUUUAUAUUAACUCCAGUGGUGAUAAUAAUUUCUGGGUACAGCUUUUUUUGGUGAAUUGUGAAGUGGGUAUUUGGGGAUUUUUGUUUUCUUUUUUAGGUGGGAGAUGAGUAUGGCGGCGGAGAAUGGGUACAGACCGCCGUUCACGGCUGUGCAGUGGCAGGAAUUGGAGCAUCAAGCUAUGAUAUAUAAGUAUUUGGUGGCUGGUAUUCCGGUGCCGGCGGACCUUGUUGUGCCUAUACGACGUAGCUUUGAACCCAUUUCAGCAAGGUUCUUUCAUCAUCCUAGCUGUAUGUAUCUCUUUCUAGUUUCUUAUGGUUGUCAAUAUUUUUUAUUUGUUUUUCAGUAAUUUUGGUAUUGGUCAGCUUGCAUGCAAAGAUGGAUUCAGAUUUAAGCUUGUUGGGUUGUAAUUUUUGAAGUUUUUUAGCAUUUUAUUCAUUGUAAUGUUAACAUUAUGUGUUAAAAAUCUUAUCUUUAUCGAAAAAUUUGUGUUUUUUUUUCACUAGAUAUCAUCUUCUAGUCUUAAAAAGAUACUGGGUUCCUUGUUCGCAUCUGUUCAAAUCUUGAUAGACAGAGUUAUCCGGUACUUGUGCUGGAAAGAUUGGCGCAAGUUGGCUCGGACACCACGGUUAUCCAAAAGAAAAAUACUGUGUUUGGAUAAACUAGAUCUGCUUCUCACUAGAAAAAGCAUAUCUUAUAAUAUAGUGUUCAGACCGAUAGGAAGAAAUCAGAUGUUCUUUUUUAUCAUUGUAAACUGAAAACAAUUCCUCUCUUCAUUUUGUAAGUUAGCUUGUUUGUUUGUUAUAGUUAUAUAUUUCAUUUAGCUUCUUUCAGUUAAGUAGUAUGAUGGAAAUGUCUGCAUUUCUGAAAUGGAAGUUUAGUAAGGUUUGAUAAUGAAUUUGGAGAUUGUAGAUGAAGUCAUAAAGAUAACUCUUUUGUCAUUGUUUCCUUUUUGGCUCAAUAUUUUGUAAAGGCAGCAUUGGGGAAGGCAAGAUUUUUGCCAAAGGGUUCAUUGUCUACUAUAUAUACUUAAAAAUAGUUGACUUUGUAUAUACAAUGUGAUUUUCUUGUGAAGCACUUCUUCCCCGCUAGCUCUGUGCCUGUAAGGCAGUUCAAUCAUUGGUAGCCAUUCAUUUUGUUUUCAUCUCAUUCCAUUUCCUUGUAUGAAGAUUUGCUGAUCCAUUCAUUUCAGCAUAUUUCUGUAAUUAGUUAUUGUAGGGGAAACAUUUAUUUCUUUUAUUCGUUGGGUAGGACUGCAGGAUAAGCCGAUUUUGGGUUUAGUAGGUUGCUAAUGUAUUCUAAAUAUAUGACUUGGUGGACUAUACGUUUGCACGUCUUUAUUGUACAAUAAUGUUAAUAGGCGGCAUAUUAGUGCUUUUGUACUGGCUUAUCUGGUGUCUGUUUUGGUUUUAUGCCAUAAUUUACAAGUAAUUUAUAUUUCAAUGUCUGUGGAGCGGAUAAAUUUCACUAUCUAUUCUGGUUAAACUCCUAUCUGCUGGAGUUCCAACUGCGGAUAACUCAAUCAAAUGUAGUAAAGUGUUCUCUUUUCGUGCUAUAGAGCACUUCCUUUUUAAGGAGUCUGAGGGAGGGGUGUUGCAGCCUUACUGCGUUUGCUAAAUAUGAAGCUUAUUAGUUUGUAUCUUGUGCUGUCAGUGGGGUACUGUUCCUAUUAUGGGAAGAAGUUUGAUCCUGAGCCAGGAAGGUGUAGAAGGACAGAUGGAAAGAAGUGGAGGUGCGCCAAAGAUGCAUAUCCUGACUCAAAGUAUUGCGAGCGGCACAUGCAUCGAGGCCGCAACCGUUCAAGAAAGCAUGUGGAAUCUCAAUCGACUGCCCAGUCCUUGUUGACUAGUAUGUCACAUAAUACUACUGGGAGCACUACUGGGAGCAGCAAAACAAGCGGCAAUUUCCAACGUAACAGCAGUGAAAGCUUCCAGAACACGCCACUAUAUUCUGCUGCUAAUUCUGAAGGACCAAGUUAUGGAAGUGCCACAACAAAGAUGCAGAUGGAGCCUCCCACCUAUGCAAUAGAUAGCAAGGGGUAUGGGUAAAUCUUCUUUUUCUCUAUGUUUCCUCUUAUCCUGAGAUGCAUUUUCUCUGAUGGUCAUUUUUAAUUACUUGUUACCUUAGAAGAAAUCUGAAUUAGUUAGCAUUUUACAAGUUAAGAGGAUCUUCCUGCAUUGAAUUUGGUCUUUGGCUGCACAAGUGAUGUUCAAUACUAGUUGGUUACAUGUGAAAAUGCUUGUUUUAAUAAUCUAUGUUUUCUAUUGCCAAUUAAAGAUAAAAAUGUUACACUAAAAUCUUUUACAUUUGGAAGGAUUCGAAAUAGGAUAUGUUGGACUAUCAUCCACCUUUUCCCCCUCCGUUGAGCUUAAUUUCCAAGUGGUAAACAGAACUUGGCGUUCUAACUCUGCAUUAUGUUUCAGAUACACGGUGAUCUUUUAUUUUUAACUAUAGUGAUCUAGUAUGUGAUAUUUCUGUUUAGGUGAUUAUGACCCGAGUCUUCCACCUAAAGUAUUCUGCAUGGUAGAAUUGGUUAUGCUACUACAAGGAGUCAUUUAUACUUCUUUGUUUUAUUUUUCUGCCUCUUUUUGACAUGCCUGAUUAUUUGGAGUUUGUUGUGCAGUCUUAACGAAGUAGUAAGAAGAUAGUUGAGAAAACAAACUUUUAUCAUUUAAGAUUCGACCUUUCAGACCUUAUCUCAGAUAAGGAAAAAAAACAUUGUUUGGUCUGUAAAUAUUGUGGUGUAUAGUGUUUGGUACAUAGGUAGGUCCAUCGGUCUCAUGUCAUACUAUUAUUGAGUGCAAUGCUGCAGUUGCAUCUGUCUAAUACGCCCUCCUGUCUUCCGAGAAAUAAGUGGUGUAACUUGGAACUAGACUACAUGACUUACAAAAUAAGAAUUCGGUAAAACAUAUUAAGUUAUUGAGAUAGCAAAUUGGGCUACACUUGUGUAACAUCCAGUUUCAUGAAAUGCAAAUUGGCAACAGGUAUUUCCAUGGAAUGACUGCUGAUGCUGAUGAGCAGAAUUUCUCUCUCGAAGCUUCGGAAGGCACGAGAAGUUUAGGUAUGGGUUCUAACACAGACAGCAUGUGGUGUCUGAUGCCUCCACAACUCCCCUCAAGCCCCAUGGUGAAACCAAAAAAUGAUUCACAGUUGCUAGAUAGCUCGCGACAAAUCCGAAUGCCUAAUCCAUUCGAACCUAUGAAUGAUACAACUAUUUCAGGACAACACCAACAUUGCUUUUUCAGCAGUGACAUAGGCUCUCCAGGGACAGUGAAGCAGGAGCAACGUUCAAUGCGCCCUUUCUUUGACGAAUGGCCUACAACUAAGGAAUCAUGGUCCAAUCUUGAUGAUGAGGGAUCCAACAAAAACAAUUUCUCCACUACUCAGCUGUCCAUAUCCAUUCCUAUGGCUCCUCCUGACUUCUCUUCAAGGAGUUCUUGUUCCCCAAACGAUGCUUGAGGAAUGCUACUACCAUCGCAAUAAACAGUUUCCGGUGCUGCGCUGAGGAACAGAUAUGCUAGUCAAAUUCUCAUCAGUACGAAUCAAGAGAAUGAACCUCGGCCUCGGAUGCUGGAGAACAUCCUGGUACCUUUGCACGUCUUUAUGGUGUUUAUAUGGUUUACAAGAAAUUGCAGCCAAUUUUCGCCGUUGAACGAAAAUAAAUGUUGUUUGCCUGUCUUCACUUUCUGGAUUCCAGUUUAAAGAUUGCAAAUCAUGUAAUUUAGUUUCAAAUAAGCUGAUGCUAUUAUAGUCACUAUGUUGUUAUUCUGUGUAUCCUUUGUUUGGAAGUUCUCAUCUUUAGAUGAUGUUUGUUUGUCAGUUUUCUUAAACUCUGUUGUUUUCUGUAGUUACAUCAUACUAAUCAACAUUUGAACGAUAAACUUACAAAUGAAGUAUGUUUUUGGGGCCGGGGCGUAUCAAAAACGCUCGAGGGCAUAAAUUAAAGACGUAAAUUUAUAUGACGUAAGUUGUAAAAUUUGAGGUGUAAGCUCCAAAAGCAUAAAAAGGCAAAUCCUAAAAUUUGAGGUGUAAGCUCCAAAAGCAUAAAGACGGAAGUCUCGAGCGUAAAAACGUAUGCCUGGGUGUGUUUCAUUUUUUUAAAAUGUUUUUUGGGCUUUAAAUUAUAUUUUUAUUAUUGG
rnacentral:lncRNA from 1 species